rnacentral:rRNA from 1 species
GGCGAACGGGUGAGUAAUACGUGACCAACCUGCCCCAUGCUCCAGAAUAGCUCUUGGAAACGGGUGGUAAUGCUGGAUGCUCCAACUUGACGCAUGUCUUGUUGGGAAAGUGUUUAGUGGCAUGGGAUGGGGUCGCGUCCUAUCAGCUUGUAGGCGGGGUAAUGGCCCACCUAGGCUUCGACGGGUAGCCGGCCUGAGAGGGCGGACGGCCACAUUGGGACUGAGAUACGGCCCAGACUCCUACGGGAGGCAGCAGAA